rnacentral:rRNA from 1 species
CCAAUAGCGUAUAUUAAAGUUGUUGCAGUUAAAAAGCUCGUAGUUGAACUUCGAGAUUUAUUCAUUGGUCAGGCUUAAUUGUCUGUACUGGUGAGAUAAAUCUCUACCUUCUGAGGAACUUUCAUGUCAUUUAUUUGAUGUGAUUGGAAAUCAGGACUAUUACUUUGAAAAAAUUAGAGUGUUUAAAGCAGGCUAACGUCUGAAUACAUUAGCAUGGAAUAAUGAAAUAGGACGGACUGGUUCUAUUUUGUUGGUUUCUAGGAUCACCGUAAUGAUUAAUAGGGAUAGUUGGGGGCAUUAGUAUUCAAUUGUCAGAGGUGAAAUUCUUGGAUUUAUUGAAGACUAACUACUGCGAAAGCAUUUGCCAAGGAUGUUUUCAUUAAUCAAGAACGAAAGUUAGGGGAUCGAAGACGAUCAGAUACCGUCGUAGUCUUAACCAUAAACUAUGCCGACUAGGGAUCGGACGAAGUUAUUAAAAAUGACGCGUUCGGCACCUUACG